rnacentral:lncRNA from 1 species
CUCGAUCUUAUUUUUGACUUCAACUUCGAUCUUAUUGUUCGGAUUGUGUUCACCUAUUUUUGAUUGGUAUUAUAGUAACAUCUUUGUAUGCCAUCUAUUUUGAGCCCUUUUCUGAUCCGUAUCUUUGGUGUGACUAUUGUAUCACCUGCCAACAGGUAUGCUAAGGGAACACACCCUAUUUUCUUCGUACAUAUACUUCCCUUCAUACCACAAC